rnacentral:rRNA from 1 species
UACGUAGGUGGCAAGCGUUGUCCGGAAUUAUUGGGCGUAAAGCGCGCGCAGGCGGUUUCUUAAGUCUGAUGUGAAAGCCCCCGGCUCAACCGGGGAGGGUCAUUGGAAACUGGGAAACUUGAGUGCAGAAGAGGAAAGUGGAAUUCCAAGUGUAGCGGUGAAAUGCGCAGAUAUCGGGAGGAACACCAAUGGCGAAGGCGGCCUACUGGGUCAGUACUGACGCUGAGCCGCGAAAGCCAGGGGAGCGAACGGG